UCUGACUCUUUGCAACCCCAUGGACUGUAGCCUAUCAGGCUCCUCCGUCCAUGGGAUUUUCCAGGCAAGAGUACUGGAGUGGGUUGCCAUUUCCUUUUCCAAUUACCAUGCAAGAUGAAAGACAAAUAGAACCUCAAGAGUUGCACUUUGUUCCAUGGAUAGGACUCCAAGGGGUGAAAUCCUUUUCAAGUUGCAUAACUUGUUAACUGACUAUGUCUAGAGCUCAGUUGUUUUUGUUUUUUUUUUCUUUUGCCUCCUUCUGAGCACAGUUUUCCUAGUCUGUACCUUUUCAUCUCCAAAACCCUAAACUUGAACAAUUCUCCUCUAAAUUGACUUUUGGAAUUUUGCUUCUUCAGGCUACCCUUGAAUUAAAUUCCCACAUGGUAAUACCCCUCCCCUUCCAUAUUUUUAGGAGCAACGACCUCCUUCUCAUUGGAAAAGACUCUGAUGCUGGGAAAGAUUGAAGGCAGGAGGAGAAGGGAAUGACAGAGGAUGAGGUAGUUGGAUGGCAUCACUGACUCAAUGGACAUGGAGAUCAAUUACAGAAAUAUUCUCAACCCUUAGAAGGGACAACGGAACUCUCCUCCUGGUGGUCAUCACAGAAAGAGUAGCCCAAAAAGAAUCUGACCAGACAUGGGUUUGAUCCCUGAUCCAGGAAGAUCCCACAUGCUGCUAAGCCUGCGCACCACAACCACUGAGCCC